AUAAACCUUUUUGUAUUAUUUAUAGGUAUUGCAUACCAUUAAAGAAAAAUUUUAUAAAUAUAAAAUAUAGAAAUAAAGAGUAGAGUUUAUAUUAAUUAUAUUGUUUCAUAAUAUUAAUUAUAUAAAUUAGUGUUGAAAAGUCGUUCUUUAUUAUAACUGUUUUAGUAUGUGUAUUAGAAAUUUAUAUUUGUUUAUUUUUAUUUAUUAUAAUUUUAUAAGUUGAAGUAUUAUAUUUUCUGGUUUUAUAACUAUUUAUAAUUUAUAAAUUUUAUUUUUAUGAAUUAAUUAUUAAAUUUUUAAUAAUUAUAUAAUUUUUAAAUUAGUAAAAUGAUUUAGAAUUAUUUUUUUUUAUAAUAUGACUUGAGAAUUCAAAUUUUAAUCAAAUGUUUUUUAAAGACUUAGACUUUAUUUUAAAGUUUGCUUCUGCCCAGUGAUAGUAUUAAAUGGCAGUCUUAGCGUGAGGACAUUAAGGUAGCAAAAUAAUUUGUGCUUUUAUUAAGUUCCAGUAUGAAUGAAGUUAUUGGUUAAUUGUUUUCUUGUCUUGUUAUUGAAUUUUUUUUUAUAUAAAAAAUUAUAGGUGUAAUUAAACAAAGAUAAGUCUUCGGAAAUUCUUUUUUAAUAUUAAUAUUAUUUUUAUUAAUGUUAAAAAUUUUCUAGGGCAGAAAUUUAUAUAAUUUAUUAUUUCUAUUAAUAAUUUAAAGAAUUACUCCGGAGUUAACAGAAAAUCAUAUCAGAUCUAGUUCUUAUAGUAUGAUAAGUUUUACAUCGAUGUUGUAUUUAAGUAUAUUAAAAAAGGAGAAGAUUUAAAUAUUAAGACUGUUCUUCUUUUAAUUAACUUAACGUGAUAUUAGUUUAAUUCAUUGUG
rnacentral:rRNA from 1 species